GUGUCAGCAGCCGCGGUAAGACGAACCGUGCGAACGUUAUUCGGAAUCACUGGGCUUAAAGCGCGUGUAGGCGGAUCGGCGCGUCGCCCGCUCAAAUCCCCCGGCUCAACCGGGGAACUGGCGGCGAUACGGCCGGUCUUGAGGGGCGUAGGGGGACCGGGAACUUCCGGUGGAGCGGUGAAAUGCGUUGAGAUCGGAAGGAACGCCCGUGGCGAAAGCGCGGUCCUGGACGCCUACUGACGCUGAGACGCGAAAGCCAGGGGAGCAAACGGGAUUAGAUACCCCGGUAGUCCUGGCUGUAAACGAUGGGCACUGGGUAGGGGGCUCGCCGAUGGGCUCCCUGUCGCAGGGAAACCGUGAAGUGCCCCGCCUGGGGAGUAUGGUCGCAAGGCUGAA
rnacentral:rRNA from 1 species